UCUUUGUCGGAGAGUUUGAUCCUGGCUCAGGAUAAACGCUGGCGGCGUGCAUGAGACAUGCAAGUCGAACGAGUGACUCGGGCUUGCUCGAGUCGCUAGUGGCGGACGGCUGAGUAACGCGUAGGUGACCUGCCCCGAAGUGGGGAAUAACUGCCCGAAAGGGUGGCUAAUACCGCAUGUGGUCGCACAUUCAAUUGUGCGAGUAAAGCCGCAAGGCGCUUCGGGAGGGGCCUGCGUCCGAUUAGCUCGUUGGUGGGGUAACGGCUCACCAAGGCGACGAUCGGUAGGUGGUCUGAGAGGACGAUCACCCAGACUGGGAC
rnacentral:rRNA from 1 species